UACGAAGGGGGCUAGCGUUGCUCGGAAUUACUGGGCGUAAAGAGCGCGCAGGCGGUUUGGUAAGUCGGAUGUGAAAUCCCGGGGCUCAACCCCGGACCUGCAUCCGAUACUGCCCGACUAGAGGUAGGUAGGGGAGAUCGGAAUUCCUGGUGUAGCGGUGAAAUGCGCAGAUAUCAGGAGGAACACCGGUGGCGAAGGCGGGUCUCUGGGCCGAUACUGACGCUGAGGAGCGAAAGCGUGGGGAGCGAACAGG
rnacentral:rRNA from 1 species